rnacentral:rRNA from 1 species
UGCUGGAGGUAUCAGAAGUGCGAAUGCUGACAUAAGUAACGAUAAAGCGGGUGAAAAGCCCGCUCGCCGGAAGACCAAGGGUUCCUGUCCAACGUUAAUCGGGGCAGGGUGAGUCGACCCCUAAGGCGAGGCCGAAAGGCGUAGUCGAUGGGAAACGGGUUAAUAUUCCCGUACUUGGUGUUACUGCGAAGGGGGGACGGAGAAGGCUAUGUUGGCCGGGCGACGGUUGUCCCGGUUUAAGCGUGUAGGUGUGUGUUCCAGGUAAAUCCGGUUCACUUUAACACUGAGGCGUGACGACGAGGCACUACGGUGCUGAAGCAACAAAUGCCCUGCUUCCAGGAAAAGCCUCUAAGCAUCAGGUAACACGAAAUCGUACCCCAAACCGACACAGGUGGUCAGGUAGAGAAUACCAAGGCGCUUGAGAGAACUCGGGUGAAGGAACUAGGCAAAAUGGUGCCGUAACUUCGGGAGAAGGCACGCUGACACGUAGGUGAAGUGAUUUACUCACGGAGCUGAAGUCAGUCGAAGAUACCAGCUGGCUGCAACUGUUUAUUAAAAACACAGCACUGUGCAAACACGAAAGUGGACGUAUACGGUGUGACGCCUGCCCGGUGCCGGAAGGUUAAUUGAUGGGGUCAGCGUAAGCGAAGCUCCUGAUCGAAGCCCCGGUAAACGGCGGCCGUAACUAUAACGGUCCUAAGGUAGCGAAAUUCCUUGUCGGGUAAGUUCCGACCUGCACGAAUGGCGUAAUGAUGGCCAGGCUGUCUCCACCCGAGACUCAGUGAAAUUGAACUCGCUGUGAAGAUGCAGUGUACCCGCGGCAAGACGGAAAGACCCCGUGAACCUUUACUAUAGCUUGACACUGAACAUUGAGCCUUGAUGUGUAGGAUAGGUGGGAGGCUUUGAAGUGUGGACGCCAGUCUGCAUGGAGCCGACCUUGAAAUACCACCCUUUAAUGUUUGAUGUUCUAACGUGGACCCGUAAUCCGGGUUGCGGACAGUGUCUGGUGGGUAGUUUGACUGGGGCGGUCUCCUCCUAAAGAGUAACGGAGGAGCACGAAGGUUGGCUAAUCCUGGUCGGACAUCAGGAGGUUAGUGCAAUGGCAUAAGCCAGCUUGACUGCGAGCGUGACGGCGCGAGCAGGUGCGAAAGCAGGUCAUAGUGAUCCGGUGGUUCUGAAUGGAAGGGCCAUCGCUCAACGGAUAAAAGGUACUCCGGGGAUAACAGGCUGAUACCGCCCAAGAGUUCAUAUCGACGGCGGUGUUUGGCACCUCGAUGUCGGCUCAUCACAUCCUGGGGCUGAAGUAGGUCCCAAGGGUAUGGCUGUUCGCCAUUUAAAGUGGUACGCGAGCUGGGUUUAGAACGUCGUGAGACAGUUCGGUCCCUAUCUGCCGUGGGCGCUGGAGAACUGAGGGGGGCUGCUCCUAGUACGAGAGGACCGGAGUGGACGCAUCACUGGUGUUCGGGUUGUCAUGCCAAUGGCACUGCCCGGUAGCUAAAUGCGGAAGAGAUAAGUGCUGAAAGCAUCUAAGCACGAAACUUGCCCCGAGAUGAGUUCU